AACGAACGCUGGCGGCAGGCUUAACACAUGCAAGUCGAACGCAUCCUUCGGGGUGAGUGGCAGACGGGUGAGUAACGCGUGGGAACGUGCCCUUCAGUUCGGGAUAACCCAGGGAAACUUGGGCUAAUACCGGAUACGUGCGAGAGCAGAAAGAUUUAUCGCUGAAGGAUCGGCCCGCGUCUGAUUAGCUAGUUGGUGGGGUAAUGGCCCACCAAGGCGACGGUCAGUAGCUGGUCUGAGAGGAUGAUCAGCCACAUUGGGACUGAGACACGGCCCAAACUCCUACGGGAGGCAGCAGUGGGGAAUAUUGGACAAUGGGCGCAAGCCUGAUCCAGCCAUGCCGCGUGAGUGAUGAAGGCCUUAGGGUUGUAAAGCUCUUUCGUCCGGGACGAUAAUGACGGUAGCGGAAGAAGAAGCCCCGGCUAACUUCGUGCCAGCAGCCGCGGUAA
rnacentral:rRNA from 1 species